rnacentral:rRNA from 1 species
CCUACGGGUGGCAGCAGUAGGGAAUCUUUCACAAUGGGCGAAAGCCUGAUGGAGCAACGCCGCGUGCAGGAUGAAGGCCUUCGGGUUGUAAACUGCUUUUAUAAGCGAGAAAUAUGAUGGUAACUUAUGAAUAAGGAUCGGCUAACUACGUGCCAGCAGCCGACGUCAUACGUAGGAUCCGAGCAUUAUCCGGAGUGAAUGGGGGUAAAGAGUUGCGUAGGUGGCAUAAUAAGUAGCUAGUGAAAUCUGGUGGCUCAACCAUUCAGACUAUUAGCUAAACUGUUAAGCUCGAGACCGUUAGGGGUAACUGGAAUUUCUAGUGUAGGAGUGAAAUCCGUAGAUAUUAGAAGGAACACCAAUAGCGUAGGCAGGUUGCUGGGACGGUUCUGACACUAAGGCACGAAAGCGUAGGGAGCAAACGGGAUUAGAUACCCGAGUAGUC